rnacentral:rRNA from 1 species
GAUGAACGCUGGCGGCGUGCCUAAUACAUGCCAGUCGAGCGAACGGACGAGAAGCUUGCUUCUCUGAUGUUAGCGGCGGACGGGUGAGUAACACGUGGAUAACCUACCUAUAGACUGGGAUAACUUCGGGAAACCGUAGCUAAUACCGGAUAAUAUUUUGAACCGCAUGGUUCAAAAGUGAAAGACGGUCUUGCUGUCACUUAUAGAUGGAUCCGCGCUGCAUUAGCUAGUUGGUAAGGUAACGGCUUACCAAGGCAACGAUGCAUAGCCGACCUGAGAGGGUGAUCGGCCACACUGGAACUGAGACACGGUCCAGACUCCUACGGGAGGCAGCAGUAGGGAAUCUUCCGCAAUGGGCGAAAGCCUGACGGAGCAACGCCGCGUGAGUGAUGAAGGUCUUCGGAUCGUAAAACUCUGUUAUUAGGGAAGAACAUAUGUGUAAGUAACUGUGCACAUCUUGACGGUACCUAAUCAGAAAGCCACGGCUAACUACGUG